rnacentral:lncRNA from 1 species
GGCAAAGGCAUGCUGCAAUAGCAUCGUUCCGAGCAGCUGGGGAUUUGCUCGUAUGGCAGCCUCUCUCGCUGAGAAGUAGAAAGCGAUGGUUACUUCAAGAAGCGGUAUCAAAAUCACUCCAUCAAGAACCCCCAAAGGAGAUUUUCUGAAGUUAUGUUCCCUGCACUACUUCCAUAAUUAAUGAAGGACUUCACGGAACUGGUAAAGUCAUUCUCUGAACAUCCAGGGAGGUAAGGUUUGCCUAGACUGUGCAUGGUAGAAAUGUAAACCCUUCUCAGAAAUUUGUUGUCAAAAAGAAAAUCCUGAAAAUUAUCUGUCUAUCUAU